rnacentral:sRNA from 1 species
AUAUAAGCUUACCAAAGUCAGCAACAAUAUGCUACACAGCUGCUUUGCUCAAAGCAAGAGCUGUCUCUGACAAAUUCUCUCCUGAGGCUGCAUCUCGGCGGGGGCUGAGCACAGCAGAGAUGAAUGCAGUAGAGGCCAUUCAUAGAGCUGUGGAAUUCAAUCCUCAUGUGCCAAAAUAUCUACAUGCUGUAUUACGUAAUUAUCAUCUUCUCUGAGGGAGGAAAAAAAGUAGCUGAGAGCCACUUUCAGUCCCGCUAUUAAGUACAUUUUGACCUCUAAGAAACUUCGUGUGGUUCACCUCAGUACCUACUAGAAAUGAAAAGCUUAAUCCUACCCCCAGAACAUAUCCUGAAGAGAGGAGACAGUGAAGCAAUAGCAUAUGCAUUCUUUCAUCUUGCACACUGGAAGAGAGUGGAAGGGGCUUUGAAUCUUUUGCAUUGUACGUGGGAAGGCACUUUUCGGAUGAUCCCUUAUCCCUUGGAAAAGGGGCACCUAUUUUAUCCUUACCCAAUCUGUACAGAAACAGCAGACCGAGAGCUUCUUCCAUCUUUCCAUGAAGUCUCAGUUUACCCAAAGAAGGAGCUUCCCUUCUUCAUUCUCUUUACUGCUGGAUUAUGUUCCUUCACAGCCAUGCUGGCCCUCCUGACACAUCAGUUCCCGGAACUUAUGGGGGUCUUCGCAAAAGCU